CCUUAGGGCUCUGUGCUGAAACGCGAUAGCACGGAGACAGCUGGCUCAAUCGCCCGCCUGCAGCCCGUCCCUUCUCUUCCCACCGCAGACUGUCUGGGUUCCACCCACCAUGCUACCCUGCAGGCACAGGGGUGUGCCGAUCCACGGAAGGACGACAGGGCAGGAGCUUGCAUGAGAGCAGGUUAAGAUCAGCCCCAGCUCAUUUUCUGAGUGUCGUGUCCUCAUCCAUGAGUGUCUUCCUCGGCUCCUUUGGGGCACCUGAAAAUCAAGACGCAGUUGGGGAAAAGCCUGCAGGCAAGAUUCUGGUUGAGUAGAAGCUCCUGACAGGCAGGUUGAUUCCUUCCCCAUGGGGCACAGUUAAAUUCGACAAAGCUGCCCAGGGGUGAGGAAGCAGCUGGUUCUGGGCAAUGCCUUAAGGAAUAGAGCUCAAAACAGGGAUAAAAAUGACAGGGCAAAAUUCUUUAAAAGUCACUCCAAAAAAUAGGCCUCACCACUGCCUGCUGUUACUGUAGUCACUACAGCAAUAUGUGGGCCUUAAAAGUCUCUUUACUCACUGUCCCUUUAGUUAGGC
rnacentral:lncRNA from 1 species